GGGUAACGAAGCCGCCGACCACGUCCGCCCUCACAAGGCGGAUGCCGGCGGUUCGAAACCGUCCGCGUCCACCA
rnacentral:tRNA from 2 species